AGCAAAGUGAUGAGAUCUUAAAUGAGCUGAAUUUCUCAGUGUGGAAAUAACUCAUAUUAAUGCCUUCAAAGUUCUCUGAUUGCU